GUACUCAUCACCUCCUCCUCCCAAGAAGCCCUAUUAUUAUCACUCUCCUCCACCACCUUCACCUCCUCCACCUAAGCCAUACUACUAUCAUUCACCACCACCACCUUCACCUCCUCCACCCAAGCCAUACUACUAUCACUCACCACCACCACCUUCACCUCCUCCACCUAAACCAUACUACUAUCACUCACCACCACCACCUUCACCUCCUCCACCUAAACCAUACUACUAUCACUCACCACCACCACCUUCACCUCCUCCACCUAAACCAUACUACUAUCACUCACCACCACCACCUUCACCUCCUCCACCUAAGUCAUAUUACUAUCACUCACCACCACCACCACCCAAAAAGAAGCCAUACUACUACCAUUCUCCCCCACCACCUUCACCACCUCCUCCUAAGCCAUACUACUAUCACU
rnacentral:lncRNA from 1 species